CGGUUGUGAAUGGCGUGGAACUGAAUGGGAAUAUGCGUCAUGUUUGACUGGGGUAAUUAGAGACCCACAUGCCAUUAUGGUUUGGAUUAAGAGAAUCGUGUUGAUGGCCCACACCAUUCCUUCUUUAGCCCAUUUUGCUUUUUAACAUUUUUAGAUGUGUACUCAAAUGAUUGUAUAAUGAAAUAUACUCAGUUCUAAA